AACGAACGCUGGCGGCGCGUUUUAAGCAUGCAAGUCGAACGGUAGUAUGGCUUCGGCCAUAUGAGAGUGGCGAACGGGUGAGUAACACGUAGGUGAUCUACCGCGAGGUUGGGGAUAGCUCAUGGAAACAUGGGGUAAUACCGAAUGAGCUCUUAUGACUAUGGUUAUGAGAGGAAAGGGGCUUUGGCCUCGCCUUGUGAUGAGCCUGCGGCUGAUUAGGUAGUUGGUGGGAUAACGGCCUACCAAGCCGACGAUCAGUAGCCGGCCUGAGAGGGUGACCGGCCACACUGGGACUGAGAUACGGCCCAGACUCCUACGGGAGGCAGCAGCUAAGAAUCUUCCGCAAUGGACGAAAGUCUGACGGAGCGACGCCGCGUGGGCGAAGAAGGCCGUGAGGUUGUAAAGCCCUUUUCUACUUGAGGAAUAAGUCCCAGAGGGAAUGCUGGGAUGAUGACGGUAGGGUAGGAAUAAGCCCCGGCUAAUUACGUGCCAGCCGCCGCCGUAACAC
rnacentral:rRNA from 1 species